rnacentral:rRNA from 1 species
ACAGUGUCUGGUGGGUAGUUUGACUGGGGCGGUCUCCUCCUAAAGAGUAACGGAGGAGCACGAAGGUUGGCUAAUCCUGGUCGGACAUCAGGAGGUUAGUGCAAUGGCAUAAGCCAGCUUGACUGCGAGCGUGACGGCGCGAGCAGGUGCGAAAGCAGGUCAUAGUGAUCCGGUGGUUCUGAAUGGAAGGGCCAUCGCUCAACGGAUAAAAGGUACUCCGGGGAUAACAGGCUGAUACCGCCCAAGAGUUCAUAUCGACGGCGGUGUUUGGCACCUCGAUGUCGGCUCAUCACAUCCUGGGGCUGAAGUAGGUCCCAAGGGUAUGGCUGUUCGCCAUUUAAAGUGGUACGCGAGCUGGGUUUAGAACGUCGUGAGACAGUUCGGUCCCUAUCUGCCGUGGGCGCUGGAGAAUUGAGGGGGGCUGCUCCUAGUACGAGAGGACCGGAGUGGACGCAUCACUGGUGUUCGGGUUGUCAUGCCAAUGGCACUGCCCGGUAGCUAAAUGCGGAAGAGAUAAGUGCUGAAAGCAUCUAAGCACGAAACUUGCCCCGAGAUGAGUUCUCCCUGACUCCUUGAGAGUCCUGAAGGAACGUUGAAGACGACGACGUU